rnacentral:tRNA from 1 species
GCCUGGGUGGCUCAGUUGGUUAAGCAUCUGACUUCAGCACAGGUCAUGAUCUAACAGUCUGUGAGUUCGAGCCCCACGUCAGGCU